UACAGCCAUAUCAUAUUGAAAUACUAGUUCUCAUAAGAUCACUGAAGUUAAGCAACUUUAGUCUGGUCAGUACCUAACUGGGUGACUACUUAGGAAUAUCAGGUGCUGUAAG